CGUGGACGGCAGCAAAAAAGUAAUUGCGCUCCAGUUUUAGUUUAAUACGAGUGAUUAGUUAGUGGGCAGUGCUUAAAAAUACAUGUGCAUAUCAUUAAAAAAACUUAGACAAACAAAUCCAUCAAAAGGUUGCAGCGAAAGAAGGAAAUAGAGCCAGAAUGCCGAUUUUUUCAUUUUCGCAUAUUCGUUUGCUAAGGCACGCGCAACGAAAACGAAAACGGGUAAAUAAAACGACAAAAAAGUGCUGGACGCGAAAAAAAACGACAUCGGAGCUGAUAUUCGUCGCCCGGGUUUUAAGAGUUUUUAGUUAGAUAAUUUAAUUGGUUUGAUUUGUUUUGCUUAUGAUUUGUGCAAGUGAAAAAAAGGCCCACUAAUUUCCGCGCCGCUGUUCUUGUUGAGAUCGCUAUUCGCGUACAUACAUACAUACACACAGGCAUACAGACACAAGGAAAACCAAAACAAGCCCAAAAGAAACUAAAAGUAAAAAGGAGAAAAGAAUGAGAUAGAACGCUUUCGCCGUUUGGACUCCCGCUACAAGCAACUGAUGCAGAAAGGAUACGGCCAAGCAGGCAGCCAGGCGAGCAAUUGCCGCACUCCGUCUGCUGAGACCUGCUGCAGUUGAUAUUGGUCCCCGACCAACCUCAGCUACGUCCACAGGAUGCCCCGCAGGAUGCUCUCUCUCCUGCAUCCACAGGAUGCUGGCACAAUACAAUUCUCAAGAACCAACAUCUUCGCUGAGGCAGAAAAUUCGUCCACAACAAAAUGAAAUUUUUCCCAUACCCUUUCGGCCUCCGAAAAGGAUAAAAAGUGUCACACACACCAUCGCUUUCUCACUCUCACUGUGCUCUGCUCCUGCUGCGGUUGGCAGUGGCCAUGUCAGAACAGAACAGCGGCACAGGAUUGCAAGGACAACGCAGCAGGCAGAAACAUAAAUCAGGAUUUUCGCAGCCCGAACCACAAAUGUUUUUAAAAGGAUUCAGCGCCCGGCCCGGGCGGCAGCAACAAUAACAACCUUGA